rnacentral:pre_miRNA from 1 species
GUGCACCCCAAAGGAGUGUGCCUUAGAACACAGGUGUAUUUUGGUCUACUCCUGUUUUGGACCCAAAAUAUGCUUGUGUUCUCAGGUCACCCCUUUGGGAUCACC